UUGAAAUUGAUAAGAACAAAACUUCCAGUCAAGAAGAGAAAUAAAAAUGAGUCACAACCCAAAAAUGACAAACAAAUAGCAGCUUCACACAUGUUAGAACUACUAUAAAGGUCGUCUCUAUUUAAGCUAGCAAAAACUUAGUUCUCUGUGUCUACCUUGUUCAAUUCAAGUAAUACCUAUUCACUUUGAAUCUUAAUUUAAAGAUCAGGUCACCACUCAUAAAGAUGAUAAUCUUGGGUCCAGUAAAAAGAUUGAUACAGUUGAUCUGUUGCCAUUCUCCUUAAUGAUCAGUUACUUUGCUGUCAUAACUAAUUGAACAAUUUAUAUACAUAUAUUGAACAAAUCAAUUAAAGUUUCCUUAACGAUCCUUGACCAGUAAUGAUAACGUCUGGCGUAUAUACAAAAUGUAGUCCUGGUAUCGAUGAUGAGUUUAUAUAGAACAAAUAUAUAAACAUGUAAGUUCAUGAGAGAACAACACAAUACUUGAAAAGUGUGUUUUAGACCUCAAAACUGAAAAUAAUAAACUUGUUGAAAGUGGUUCAUUCACAAGAAAGAUUAGAUUUUGGUUCACAAAGUUUCCUUUAAC
rnacentral:lncRNA from 1 species